CCUACGGGUGGCAGCAGUGGGGAAUAUUGCACAAUGGGGGCAACCCUGAUGCAGCAACGCCGCGUGAGUGAGGAAGUAUUUCGGUAUGUAAAGCUCUAUCAGCAGGGAGUAGAAAAGUAGGUACCUGACCUAGAAGCCCCGGCUAACUACGUGCCAGCAGCCGCGGUAAUACGUAGGGGGCAAGCGUUAUCCGGAUUUACUGGGUGUAAAGGGAACGUAGGCGGAAAGGCAAGUCAGAAGUGAAAACCCAAGGCUCAACCAUGGGACUGCUUCUGAAACUGGCAAACUAGAGUACGGGAGAGGUAAGAAGAAUUCCUAGUGUAGCGGUGAAAUGCGUAGAUAUCAGGAGGAACACCAGUGGCGAAGGCGGCUUACUGGACGGAAACUGACGUUGAGGCUCGAAAGCGUGGGGAGCAAACAGGAUUAGAUACCCUAGUAGUC
rnacentral:rRNA from 1 species